GCCAUUGCACUCCAGUCUGGCCAACAAGAGCGAGACUCCAUCUUAAACAAAUAAAAAACAGAAAAUGCACCACUCAACUUUACUGUUGUAGAGAACAUAAUAGACUGGCAGCCCCAGGUGCUGCCCCGCCUGGGUCCACUCAGCAUUUGAGUUUGCACUGAGGCUUCCCAGCCAGCCAGUGACAGAGCACAUGGGGUACUGGCCCAUUCCUGGGAGACACAGGACACCUAGAACAGUCAGCUUUGGCUCAAGGACUCUCCAUUAGCCUGGCUGAAACUUUAUUAGAUGUGCAGGGCCCUCUGAGGCUCUUCUUACCUAAACCUUCCUGCCCGUUUCUUUUCACAGGAGUAGACCUGCUUCGAGGUCUAAAGGACCCCCUGCCUCCUCUGCCUCUCUUUAUCAUCCAUUGGUGUUUCUUCCACAAAUCUUGUUUUAUUCUGGGCAUAUAUAUGUUUGGAGGUGUGUGUAUGUUUGGGGAACCUUUGAAUUUGGAAGUACCAAGGUGAGGAGAGACUUAUGGAAUUUAGAAGCUUUGGCAGGAACUAAGCACUGUGUUUCUUAGAAUGAGCAGCUCUUUCUACUUGAAAGGCUGAGGCAGAGGAUCGCUUGAUCCCAGGGAUUUGAAGCUGGCUGCAGUGAGCUAUGAUCACACCACUACUCUCCAGCCUAGGUGACACAGCAAGACUCUGUAAAAAAUGAAGAAGAAGAAAGAAGAAGAAGAAGAAGAAGAAGAAGAAGAGGAAGAGGAAGAGGAAGAAGAAGAAGAAGAAGAAGAAGAAGAAGAAGAAGAAGAAGAAGAAGAAGAAGAAGAAGAAGAAGAACAGGCCAUGUGAGGUUGCCACACCUGUAAUCCUAGCACAUUGGGAGGCUGAGGUGGGAAGAUCACUUGAGGUCAGGAGUUCGAGACCAGUCUGGCCAACAUGGUGAAACCCUGUCUCUAAUAAAAAUACAAAAAUUAGUCAGGUAUGGUAAUGGGUGCCUGUAGUCCCAGCUACGUGGGAGGCUGAGGCAGCAGAAUCACUUGAACCUGGGUGGCAGAGGUUGCAGUGAACCAAGAUCAUGCCACUGUACUCCAGCCUGGGUGACAGAGUAAGACUCUAUCUCAAAAACAACAACAACAAACAAACAAAAAUAGUUCCUUAAGGUGAGAGACAAAUUUAUCAAAUAAAAUGUAAAAGCCAUGAGUUUAGUAACAGCAAUUUUUCUGUCAUUUUUUCCCUCAGUGAACAUUGGCACUUAUUUUAGUGGAAUUAAAAGUAGCAGGCUGAGUGCAGUGUCUCACACCUGUAAUCUCAACACUCUGGGAAGCCAAGGCAGGAGAAUCUCUUGAGGCCGAGAGUUUGAGACCAUCCUGGACAACAUACUCUAUAAGGAACGACCCAGGCCAGAAACCUGCCAAAUCCUGUCCAGUACUAUGAUCUACAAAACGGAUCUGCCUCAGGAAAGCCAGGGAAGGUGGGGCUGGAUGGAGUGUGUUCCAGCUGGAACAUCUGCUCUGGGCCAGGCACAGUGGGGAAAGCCAAGGUGGAUUCACUAUGGCCCUGAUCUCAUGAUUGGGAGACAAGAACUUGCUGUGUUGCCCAGGCUGGUCUUGAACUUCUGGCCUCAAGAAGAUCCUCCCACCUCGACCUCUCAAAGUGUUGGUAUUACAGACGUGAGCCACUGGGCCCCACUGUGUUCUGUUCUUAUUGCCCAUGACAAUUAAAGUUAGCUCUAUCUCA